AACCAAGCAUUCUUGAUGAAAUUGGGCUUUGCUAUGGUUGCGAAGCUCGACCUCCUAUGGGUCCAUGUCCUCACCCACAAGUAUAGAUGACCUGAUUUAUCAUGGAGCUACAAGCCGAUGGGACCAAUCUCCCAUCUUUGCGGCAACCUUAACCAUCACUGGAUGGACCUUCGAGUUUGCAUCAAAUGGUCCUUUGGUUAAGGGAGAAAUGUUAUAUUUUGGGAAUACUAUUGGUUAGAGGAUCUGGGGCUACUUAAGUUUUUGGCUUUUGGGCCUAUUGAGGAGCGGGAUCUCUAUAGAUGUGUCCAGGACUAUGUGGUGCCGUCCGACCAAUGGGAUUGGGAGGCCCUUCACCAGGUG
rnacentral:lncRNA from 1 species